rnacentral:rRNA from 1 species
AGGUGAUAUGAACCGUUAUAACCGGCGAUUUCCGAAUGGGGAAACCCAGUGUGAUUCGUCACACUAUCAUUAACUGAAUCCAUAGGUUAAUGAGGCGAACCGGGGGAACUGAAACAUCUAAGUACCCCGAGGAAAAGAAAUCAACCGAGAUUCCCCCAGUAGCGGCGAGCGAACGGGGAGGAGCCCAGAGCCUGAAUCAGCAUGUGUGUUAGUGGAAGCGUCUGGAAAGGCGCGCGAUACAGGGUGACAGCCCCGUACACAAAAGCGCAUGUGCUGUGAGCUCGAUGAGUAGGGCGGGACACGUGGUAUCCUGUCUGAAUAUGGGGGGACCAUCCUCCAAGGCUAAAUACUCCUGACUGACCGAUAGUGAACCAGUACCGUGAGGGAAAGGCGAAAAGAACCCCGGCGAGGGGAGUGAAAAAGAACCUGAAACCGUGUACGUACAAGCAGUGGGAGCACCCUUCGGGGUGUGACUGCGUACCUUUUGUAUAAUGGGUCAGCGACUUAUAUUCUGUAGCAAGGUUAACCGAAUAGGGGAGCCGGAGGGAAACCGAGUCUUAACCGGGCGUUAAGUUGCAGGGUAUAGACCCGAAACCCGGUGAUCUAGCCAUGGGCAGGUUGAAGGUUGGGUAACACUAACUGGAGGACCGAACCGACUAAUGUUGAAAAAUUAGCGGAUGACCUGUGGCUGGGGGUGAAAGGCCAAUCAAACCGGGAGAUAGCUGGUUCUCCCCGAAAGCUAUUUAGGUAGCGCCUCGUGAAUUCAUCUCCGGGGGUAGAGCACUGUUUCGGCUAGGGGGCCAUCCCGGCUUACCAACCCGAUGCAAACUGCGAAUACCGGAGAAUGUUAUCACGGGAGACACACGGCGGGUGCUAACGUCCGUCGUGAAGAGGGAAACAACCCAGACCGCCAGCUAAGGUCCCAAAGUCAUGGUUAAGUGGGAAACGAUGUGGGAAGGCCCAGACAGCCAGGAUGUUGGCUUAGAAGCAGCCAUCAUUUAAAGAAAGCGUAAUAGCUCACUGGUCGAGUCGGCCUGCGCGGAAGAUGUAACGGGGCUAAACCAUGCACCGAAGCUGCGGCAGCGAACGUAUCACCCAAGACAA